GCAUCUUCAGCUUGCUGGCAACAGUGUCGCAGAUUACACACUUUAAUGAUUUGCUGAUCGGCCAAGGGCUCGAGUUGUGGCAUCACCACAUUUAUGAGUUCUGAUGGCUUGAAUCCUCCAAUCCAGAGGAAAAAGCGCUCGACGGAAGUUCUCCACACCCCAGACAUUAAGUAAAACACGUCAGCUUUGGCGGCAUCAGCUUUCAUGCGAAAGAGAUUGAAAUAGUGGCUUAAGACAUUUUCUACUAGCAACUGAAGCUCCAUAUCGCUUACAGG
rnacentral:misc_RNA from 1 species